rnacentral:rRNA from 1 species
GACGAACGCUGGCGGCGUGCUUAACGCAUGCAAGUCGAACGAGGUCCAUGGUGCUUGCACCGGAAGACCUAGUGGCGAACGGGUGAGUAACACGUGAGGAACCCACCCUGGGGACCGGGAUAACCCCCCGAAAGGGGAGCUAAUACCGGAUGCCCUCAUCGGGCCGCAUGACCUGAUGAGGAAAUGGAUUCCGCUCCAGGACGGCCUCGCGGCCUAUCAGCUUGUUGGUGGGGUAACGGCCUACCAAGGCAUCGACGGGUAGCUGGUCUGAGAGGACGGUCAGCCACACUGGGACUGAGACACGGCCCAGACUCCUACGGGAGGCAGCAGCGGGGAAUAUUGCGCAAUGGGCGAAAGCCUGACGCAGCAACGCCGCGUGAGGGAUGAAGGCUCUCGGGUUGUAAACCUCUUUCAGCAGGGACGAUUGUGACUGUACCUGCAGAGGAAGCCCCGGCCAACUACGUGCCAGCAGCCGCGGUGAUACGUAGGGGGCGAGCGUUGUCC